UGUAUUCCCAACUGAGAUGGUUAAUUUUAUGUGCCAAAUUGGCUGGACCAUGGUGCCCAAAUAUUUGGUCAAAUACUAUUCCAGAUGUUUCUGUGA